rnacentral:rRNA from 1 species
GACGGGGAGCUUGCUCCCCCGACGUUAGCGGCGGACGGGUGAGUAACACGUGGGUAACCUACCUAUAAGACUGGAAUAACUCCGGGAAACCGGGGCUAAUGCCGGAUAACAUGUUGGACCGCAUGGUCCUACAGUGAAAGACGGUCUUGCUGUCACUUAUAGAUGGACCCGCGCCGUAUUAGCUAGUUGGUAAGGUAACGGCUUACCAAGGCAACGAUACGUAGCCGACCUGAGAGGGUGAUCGGCCACACUGGAACUGAGACACGGUCCAGACUCCUACGGGAGGCAGCAGUAGGGAAUCUUCCGCAAUGGGCGAAAGCCUGACGGAGCAACGCCGCGUGAGUGAUGAAGGCCUUCGGGUCGUAAAACUCUGUUAUUAGGGAAGAACAAAUGUGUAAGUAACUAUGCACGUCUUGACGGUACCUAAUCAGAAAGCCACGGCUAACUACGUGCCAGCAGCCGCGGUAAUACGUAGGUGGCAAGCGUUAUCCGGAAUUAUUGGGCGUAAAGCGCGCGUAGGCGGUUUCUUAAGUCUGAUGUGAAAGCCCACGGCUCAACCGUGGAGGGUCAUUGGAAACUGGGAAACUUGAGUGCAGGGAGAGGAAAGUGGAAUUCCAUGUGUAGCGGUGAAAUGCGCAGAGAUAUGGAGGAACACCAGUGGCGAAGGCGACUUUCUGGUCUGCAACUGACGCUGAUGUGCGAAAGCGUGGGGAUCAAACAGGAUUAGAUACCCUGGUAGUCCACGCCGUAAACGAUGAGUGCUAAGUGUUAGGGGGUUUCCGCCCCUUAGUGCUGCAGCUACGCAUUAAGCACUCCGCCCGGGGAGUACGACCGCAA